rnacentral:misc_RNA from 1 species
GGUGAAGAACGCAGCGAAAUGCGAUAAGUAAUGUGAAUUGCAGAAUUCAGUGAAUCAUCGAAUCUUUGAACGCAUCUUGCGCUCCUUGGUAUUCUGAGGAGCAUGCCUGUUUGAGUGUCAUUAAAUUCUCAAGUACACUGACUUUGAAUUGGUGUGGCUUGGAUUUGGGGGGAAAAUUGUUGUGGGCUUUUUGUAUAGUCUGCUCCCCUGAAAUUGAUUAGCGGUACCUUUGUGGAACUGUCUACAGGUGUGAUAAUUAUCUACAUCUUAGACAUCUGCUGGAAUGCUGCUUUCUAAACCUUACUUGUAUUGACAAUCUUGACCUCAAAUCAGGUAGGACUACCCGCUGAACUUAAGCAUAUCAAUAAGCGGAGGA